CUGCGGUAUUUUGACCGUGCUAAGGUAGCAUAAUCAAUUGUUUUUUAAUUGAAAACUAGUAUGAACGGUUUAAUUUACUUAAUUAGUUUGUAAUUUUUAAUAGUAAGUUAAAUAUAAAGUAAGAAUUCUUUAAUAAAUUAGGGGACGAUAAGACCCUAAAAGCUUUAUGAUUGGCAUUUAAUUGGUGAUAGCGGUGUUAUUAAUUCACUGGGGCAGUGAGUUUAGGUAUAUUUAAGUAUAAUUAAAAGCUCCUUUAAAUAAAGAUUUCAUGUAUAAGUUACUUUAGGGAUAACAGUGCAAUAUAUU
rnacentral:rRNA from 1 species